rnacentral:rRNA from 1 species
UACAGAGGUGGCAAGCGUUGUUCGGAAUUACUGGGCGUAAAGGGCGCGUAGGCGGUUUCGUAAGUCCCGUGUGAAAGCCCCCGGCUCAACUGGGGAAUUGCACGGGAAACUGCGAGGCUUGAGUUCGGGAGAGGGAAGCGGAAUUCCGGGUGUAGCGGUGAAAUGCGCAGAUAUCAGGAGGAACACCAAUUGCGAAGGCAGCUCGCUGGGACGUUACUGACGCUGAGACGCGAAAGCGUGGGGAGCAAACAGG